rnacentral:rRNA from 1 species
ACUCCUACGGGAGGCAGCAGUGGGAAUCUUAGACAAUGGGGGAAACCCUGAUCUAGCCAUGCUGCGUGCGUGAAGAAGGCCUUAGGGUUGUAAAGCGCUUUCACUGGUGAAGAUGAUGACGGUAGCCAGAGAAGAAGCCCCGGCUAACUCCGUGCCAGCAGCCGCGGUAAUACGGAGGGGCAAGCGUUGUUCGGAAUUAGCUGGGCGUAAAGGGCGCGUAGGCGGGAUGUCAAGUUAGGGGUGAAAGGCCUGGGCUCAACCUGAGGAACUGCCUCUAAAACUGAUAUUACUAGAGUCCGGGAGAGGAUGGCGGAAUUCCAGUGUAGAGGUGAAAUUCGUAGAUAUUGGGAAGAACACCGGUGGCGAAGGCGGCCAUCUGGUCCGGCACUGACGCUGAGGCGCGAAAGCGUGGGAGCAACAGGAUUAGAUACCCUGGUAGGCUCUG